rnacentral:rRNA from 1 species
GAUGAACGCUGGCGGCGUGCUUAACACAUGCAAGUCGAACGGAAAGGCUCCUGCUUGCAGGGGUACUCGAGUGGCGAACGGGUGAGUAACACGUGGGUGAUCUGCCCUGCACUUCGGGAUAAGCCUGGGAAACUGGGUCUAAUACCGGAUAGGACGAUGGUUUGGAUGCCAUUGUGGAAAGUUUUUUCGGUAUGGGAUGAGCUCGCGGCCUAUCAGCUGGUUGGUGGGGUAAUGGCCUACGAAGGCGUCGACGGGUAGCCGGCCUGAGAGGGUGUACGGCGACCUUAGGACUGAGGGACGGCCCAGAAUGCAACGGGAGGCAACGGUGGGGAGUAUUGCACAAUGAGCUCAAGCCUGAUGCAGCGGCGCCGCGUGGGGGAUAACGGCCUUCGGGUUGUAAACUCCUUUCGCUAGAAACGAAGCGCAAGUGACGGUACCUAGAGAAGAAGCACCGGCUAACUACGUG